CCCCGAUCUAGGCAAAGUCCAGCGAAUAGGUGAAGAGGUGGUGCCUCCUCCUCUCACAGGGCUCUGCCCCUAGGAGUCCAGGAAACGCGGGUGUCUUGUCCGCUGAUGGUUCCCGCUAAUAGGCAAACACCAGGAACGUGCAGCCCCUCCCCUCCGCUUCGCGCUCUUUCUGGGAGGAGCCUGGGGGGGAGGGUCCUGCCCACUGGCCCCGCCCUGCGCUAGGCGGAAGCCCCCAAAGUAUCAGCGCCGCUUCGUGGAGCCUGGCGACUGCUUUGGGAAGUCCUGCUGGCAGGCACUCUGCCCCUGGGGGUGUGCAAAGAGUUGUCCAGUUACCUUGAUCUUCUCACAGCCUCCUCCCCAGGGCACCGGGAGAGACCAGGAUUGGAGGACGGUAAAGAACACACUUCCCAGAGGAUUCUUGGAGUGGCUUCCUCCAGGCAGUAAAUCUACAGCCCAGGCUCCCUGCAUCUUAUGGCUCCAAUCACUUUGGAUCUCAUCGUCGCCUGCACAUUGCCAUACACAGGGAAGGAGAGGAGAUGGAGAAGGCAAAGACUUUCUGAAAGCCGUGGCUAAAAGCUGGCAUGUGUCACAUCAGCUCACAUUCCAUUGGUGAGAACAUAGAAUAUGUAAGGCAAAGAGAAACCCAGGAAACUAUCGCGUGCCAUUCUUAGAUCUCUCCAUCCCUAGCUGGUCUGCCUUCUUCUCUCCACAUUUCUGAGUUUUUCUUCUUUGCUUAAUUUACAAUGUCCAGGGUAUUUUAGUGAGAGGAAUCUUCUCUAUCACACCCCGCACAGCAGUUGCUCCAUAUCCUUUUAAUAUAUUCCUUUUUUUUGUGGUUAGAAUUGAAA
rnacentral:lncRNA from 1 species